GACGAACGCUGGCGGCGUGCCUAAUACAUGCAAGUCGAACGCGGGGGGGACGGGUGAGUAACACGUGGGUAACCUCCCAUCAGAGGGGAUAACACUUGGAAACAGGUGCUAAACCGAUACUGAUGGAUGGACCCGCGGGGCAUUAGCUGGUUGGUGGGGUAACGGCUCACCAAGGCCACGAUGCAUAGCCGACCUGAGAGGGUGAUCAGCCACACUGGGACUGAGACACGGCCCAGACUCCUACGGGAGGCAGCAGUAGGGAAUAUUGGGCAAUGGACGAAAGUCUGACGCAGCAACGCCGCGUGAGUGAAGAAGGUUUUCGGGUUGUAAAACUCUGUUGUCAGGGAAGCGUUACCUAACGAAGAAGCAACGGCUAACUACGUGCCAGCAGCCGCGGUAAUAC
rnacentral:rRNA from 1 species